CUUCCCUCCCAGAAUGCUUAGGAUCAGGAAGAAAUCCUGGAAGUGAGAGAUUCUUGUCAAAGGGCCUAGGAGAAAAAGAAAGAGAAUCCAGGGAAACCCUCAGAUGAAGAGACAAAUCCUUCUUGUCCUCCAGAUUCACGGCUGAAACAACAGAGGAGGGUGGGGUGGAAGGCUGCCAGAAUGCAGGUUACAAGGCUCAAGAGGGUUGCUGCUAUUUCUGGACAUUUUGUCACCACUGGAGGUUGCCUCAUGGAAAUGGAAGCCAGGAGCCCUAAGAUUCCCCUCCACUCAGGCCACAGACAGCUCCUGGGGUGAGGCCUGGCGCGUGUCUCCCUGGCAGGGAACCUCACACAAGGUCCAGAGCCCUCGAUGUCCUGCAAAUGAAGGAGGAUGUUCUCAAAUUCCUUGCAGCAGUGUCUACUUUCACAGCAACAGCCUUGAUUUCUAGAUGGAGCAGCAUCUCUACAAAUGGAAAAGCCAUGGUAUCUACAAGACAUAUCUGAAAAGGACCCAGGCAAAUCCGAAGCCAUCACCUCCAUUGAGAACCCUGCCAACAUCAGCACCAUCUCCUCCAAGAGCACCCGUCAGAGUUGUAUUGACAUUUGCAGCUACUAUGGGAGUCAUUCUGGUUGCUGGCUACAUCAUAUCCAGGACUUUCAUUAGCCAGAUCCAAGUAGCAUUCAGAAAGCCAUGUCUUGUGAUGGUAAUGAUUCCAGGGCUGACUACUAAGGCCUCACAGAGGCAUCUUCUGUCAACCUACCUACCAUGAGCUGUAUAAUACAGAUUCCCCCUUUGUGCUACGUGGACAUUGCCAUCCCAUGCCACAAAAAGGGAGCUCACCUGGACAUCUGAUGUGGUGGAUGCUGGAUAAGGAAGUUCUGAGCAUGUGUGGUACCAUCACCCAUGAGGACCUGUGAGAGGUCAUGCCUACUCCUAUAGAGACCAAGAAGAGAUGGAGAAGGGAGAGCAAGCACAGAUGAAAAGGCUGUGACCAAGGAAGGAUGCUGGGGCAAAUGGACCAUGCCAGUUCCUGAGUUCACUGCUGCUCAGCCUGAGGUGGCAAACUGGUCUGAGGGUACGUGGGUACUCUCUGUGCCUGUCCAGAAGUUUCCUACUGAAGACAGAAAUGCCCAGCCAGCUGUGGAGGGCUGCUUUGCAGUUCCCACUUCUCAGGGUGCUGAAUGAGUCAGAACAAUCACUGAGUGGUCCUAAGGUAUUCUUCAGCAGAUAUUUUAGCAAAAUGGAAAGGUGGGUAGAAAAUAAAUGGUUUUAGAAAAAAUAAAAUUCCCCCACAAAGAUAGUAGAAAAGAGCUGUAUUAUUGAAUAAGCAUUCAACCAGAAUGUGAUGUGCACCACAGACAAUCUGCUAAGGGAGUGAACAGACAGGAGAGGUUUUUAUUUUUAAUCCCAAAAGUGCUGGAUGUUGUAUAUGUUUUUAGUAAUUAGUCUUCAACUUGACAGCAUCAUUUAUCACCUAAACUCAUCUGGCAAAUGGGGCUGUCAUCUUCCUGAUUAGCUUUGUCCAAAAGGAAGACAAGCUUUACCUAGGCUCAGGACAGGAGUCAAUCCUGCUACUUAGAAAACAGUGUCCAUCAAAGCUAGGCUUCUGUCUCCCGCAGGCAUAGGGUUCAGUAUCCAUCAAAGC
ensembl:lncRNA